UACGAAGGGGGCUAGCGUUGUUCGGAAUUACUGGGCGUAAAGCGCGCGCAGGCGGUCCUUUAAGUCAGGGGUGAAAGCCCAGAGCUCAACUCUGGAAUUGCCUUUGAAACUAGAGGACUUGGGUACGGGAGAGGUGAGUGGAAUUCCGAGUGUAGAGGUGAAAUUCGUAGAUAUUCGGAAGAACACCAGUGGCGAAGGCGGCUCACUGGCCCGUUACCGACGCUCAGGCGCGACAGCGUGGGGAGCAAACAGG
rnacentral:rRNA from 1 species